AUUGAACGCUGGCGGCAGGCCUAACACAUGCAAGUCGAACGAGUGGCGGACGGGUGAGUAAUGUCUGGGAAACUGCCCGAUGGAGGGGGAUAACUACUGGAAACGGUAGCUAAUACCGCAUACCAUCGGAUGUGCCCAGAUGGGAUUAGCUUGUAGGUGAGGUAACGGCUCACCUAGGCGACGAUCCCUAGCUGGUCUGAGAGGAUGACCAGACAACGUGGAAAUGAUACACGGUCCAGACGCCUACGGGAGGCAGCAGUGGGGAAUAUUGCGCAAUGGGCGGAAGCCUGAUGCAGCCAGGGCGCGUGUAUGAAGAAGGCCUUCGGGUUGUAAAGUACUUUCAGCGGGGAGGCGUUACCCGCAGAAGAAGCACCGGCUAACUCCGUGGCAGCAGCCGCGGUAAUUC
rnacentral:rRNA from 1 species